AUACGGAGGAUGCAAGCGUUAUCCGGAUUUAUUGGGUUUAAAGGGUGCGUAGGCGGAAAAUUAAGUCAGUAAUGAAAUCCUACAGCUUAACUGUAGAAUUGUUAUUGAUACUGGUUUUCUUGAAUACAGUUGAGGCAGGCGGAAUGUGUAAUGUAGCGGUGAAAUGCUUAGAUAUUACACAGAACACCGAUUGCGAAGGCAGCUUGCUAAACUGUGAUUGACGCUGAGGCACGAAAGCGUGGGGAUCAAACAGGAUUAGAUACCCUGGUAGUCCACGCUGUAAACUAUGAUCACUCGCUGUUGGCGAUAUAUUGUCAGUGGCUGAGCAAAAGCAUUAAGUGAUCCACCUGGGGAGUACGAUCGCAAGAUUGAA
rnacentral:rRNA from 1 species